GUCAAGAGGGGGGGGGGAAACCCUAUUUUCUAAGAAUCAGAAAACAGAAGUUGCACCCACACUCUUUCACGUUAGAAACCAGAGGAAAAGAGAGAAGAGAGAACUUGAGAGAGAGGAGGAGAGAGCCGCCGCCCCUAGCCCUAGCCACCGCCGCACGCACGCAAGGGAAAGGAGAGGAGAUCGCGAGAGAGAGAGAGGGAUCGAGAGCAAGGAGGAAGAGAGGACAUUGGACAGCAGCUUUUGAUUCUUUCUUCAUCACCCUACUUCUGAUUUCAUCACUCUUAAUCAAGAUGGUUAUGAAGAUAACGACGACGACUCAUUCUUGGGAGUUGAUACUACGUGACGAGCCACUACCGGAUGACGACUACACUCCUAAAGAAGAGGAAGAAGAUAAAGAGGAAGGGGCCAAGGAUGUGGGUGGGUUGAGAGACAUCCAUUUUCUCUUUGGGUGGAGAGUACCGAGUUCGGGAAGCAUUGAACAAUUAUUUUGUUUUCAUUUGGAUAAAUAAAGUUGAUGUAAUUUACUUUGGUUUUAGACGUAUGUUUCAUGCUUAUUUUAUUUAAUUCAAAAGUUUUGAGA